GUGACCAAUUUUGUAAUCAAAUAAUGUCCAAAGUUGACCCACGUAUUGCAUUUUGGGGACAAAUUUCAAUUAGAGAAUUCUUUUUUCUGUUCAAAACACUACUACAAAAACGGUUAUCAGUAACGGUCGAAAAAGCAUAUCAGUAACGGGCGAAUUGCCCGUCACUAACUUCAUGUCACUGAUGUGUCACACAUCAGUGACGGGCGGCCUGCCCGUUGGUGAUGCGUAACUCAUUAGUAGCGGGCACAAAAUACAACUGACAAUGAUAUAGGUUUUGGAAAAAUAAAAUAAAAAAUAGAAAUGGCCCUCCCGGCCCUCACGUUCAUUGCUUCUCCAAAUCACAAAUCUAACAAAUUAACCAAAUGAUGCAACAAAUCACAACAAAUAGGUAAGCAUGAACACAGAGCACGGAUUAAACAGAGCACGGAUUGAACAACAAUUUUGAUAGAAACCCUAGUACAGAAACUAGAACAAAACUCAAAUCCUAGCAAGUCCCGGCCAUCGCCUCCUCCUCCCUUCUCCCGCC
rnacentral:lncRNA from 1 species